rnacentral:rRNA from 1 species
GAUGAACGCUGGCGGCGUGCCUAAUACAUGCCAGUCGAGCGAACAGACGAGGAGCUUGCUCCUCUGACGUUAGCGGCGGACGGGUGAGUAACACGUGGAUCACCUACCUAUAAGACUGGGAUAACUUCGGGAAACCGGCGCUAAUACCGGAUAAUAUAUUGCACCGCAUGGUUCAAUAGUGAAAUACGGUUUUGCUGUCACUUAUCGAUGGAUCCCCGCCGCAUUAGAUAGUUGGGAAGGUAACGGCUUACCAAGGCAACGAUGCGUAGCCGACCGAAGAGGGGGAUCGGCGACACUGGAACUGAGACAGGGUCCAGACUACUACGGGAGGCAGCAGUAGGGAAGCUUCCGCAAUGGGCGAAAGCCUGACGGAGCAACGGGGCGUGAGUGAUGAAGGCCUUCGGAGCGUAAAACUCUGUUAUGAGGGAAGAACAAAUGUGUAAGUAACUAUGCACGGCUUGACGGUAACUAAUCAGAAAGCCACGGCUAACUACGUG